UACGGGGGGGCAAGCGUUGUUCGGAAUUACUGGGCGUAAAGGGCUCGUAGGCGGCCAACUAAGUCGGAUGUGAAAUCCCCAGGCUCAACCUGGGAACUGCAUCCGAUACUGGAUGGCUUGAAUUCGGGAGAGGGAUGCAGAAUUCCAGGUGUAGCGGUGAAAUGCGUAGAUAUCUGGAGGAAUACCGGUGGCGAAGGCGGCAUCCUGGACCGACAUUGACGCUGAGGAGCGAAAGCCAGGGGAGCAAACGGGG
rnacentral:rRNA from 1 species